GAUGAAGAACGUAGCGAAAUGCGAUACGUAGUGUGAAUUGCAGAAUUCAGUGAAUCAUCGAAUCUUUGAACGCACAUUGCACCUCUCGGUAUUCCGGGAGGUAUGCCUGUUCGAGCGUCAUUUGUACCCUCAAGCUCUGCUUGGUGUUGGGUGUUUGUUCCGCCUCUGUGUGUGAACUCGCCUCAAAACAAUUGGCAGCCGGCGUACUUGUUUCGGAGCGCAGCACAUUUUGCGAUCCAGAUCAACGUACAGCGGCAUCCAAGAAGCCUUAUUUAACGCUCUUGACCUCGGAUCAGGUAGGGAUACCCGCUGAAAUUAAGCAUAUCAAUAAGCGGAGGA
rnacentral:misc_RNA from 1 species